rnacentral:rRNA from 1 species
GAUGAACGCUGGCGGCGUGCUUAACACAUGCAAGUCGAGCGAGAAGUUUUGAAAAGAUUCUUCGGAUGAAAUUUAAAAUGGAAAGCGGCGGACGGGUGAGUAACGCGUAGGCAACCUGCCCCAUACAAAGGGAUAGCAUUUGGAAACGAAUAUUAAUACCUUAUGAAACUUAACUAGUGCAUGCUAGGUAGGUCAAAGAUUUAUCGGUAUGGGAUGGGCCUGCGUCUGAUUAGCUAGUUGGUGAGGUAACGGCUCACCAAGGCGACGAUCAGUAGCCGACCUGAGAAGGUGAACGGCCACAUUGGAACGGAGACACGGUCCAAACUCCUACGGGAGGCAGCAGUGGGGAAUAUUGCACAAUGGGGGAAACCCUGAUGCAGCAACGCCGCGUGAACGAUGAAGGCCUUUGGGUCGUAAAGUUCUGUUCUAGGUGAUGAAAACUGACAGUAACCUAGGAGAAAGCCCCGGCUAACUCCGUG